rnacentral:rRNA from 1 species
UACGAAGGGGGCUAGCGUUGCUCGGAAUGACUGGGCGUAAAGAGCUCGUAGGCGGUCCGUUACGUCGGCUGUGAAAACCUGGGGCUCAACCCCGGGCCUGCAGUCGAUACGGGCAGACUAGAGUGUGGUAGGGGAGGCUGGAAUUCCUGGUGUAGCGGUGAAAUGCGCAGAUAUCAGGAGGAACACCGGUGGCGAAGGCGGGUCUCUGGGCCGAUAUUGACGCUGAGGAGCGAAAGCGUGGGGAGCAAACAGG